rnacentral:ncRNA from 12 species
CUCUAAUAUUAUUCUAGAUUAUAUAUUUUAAGGAAUAUGUACAAUGAAAUAUUAGAUAUUAAAGGAACUUGUUCCUUCCUAAUUUAGGUAAAAAUGAAACAGUAAAAUACAUAUUAGUAGAGUAAUUAGAAAAUAUGUAUUUUAC